rnacentral:rRNA from 1 species
CAGAGGCGAUGAAGGACGUGCUAAUCUGCGAUAAGCGCCGGUAAGGUGAUAUGAACCGUUAUAACCGGCGAUUUCCGAAUGGGGAAACCCAGUGUGACUCGUCACACUAUCAUUAACUGAAUCCAUAGGUUAAUGAGGCGAACCGGGGGAACUGAAACAUCUAAGUACCCCGAGGAAAAGAAAUCAACCGAGAUUCCCCCAGUAGCGGCGAGCGAACGGGGAGGAGCCCAGAGCCUGAAUCAGCAUGUGUGUUAGUGGAAGCGUCUGGAAAGGCGCGCGAUACAGGGUGACAGCCCCGUACACAAAAGCGCAUGUGCUGUGAGCUCGAUGAGUAGGGCGGGACACGUGGUAUCCUGUCUGAAUAUGGGGGGACCAUCCUCCAAGGCUAAAUACUCCUGACUGACCGAUAGUGAACCAGUACCGUGAGGGAAAGGCGAAAAGAACCCCGGCGAGGGGAGUGAAAAAGAACCUGAAACCGU